GCCAGUGUGGCACAGUGGUUUGAGUGUUUGUUUCAAUCUUGGACUAGGACUCUGGAGACCAGGGUUCGAUUCCCAGCUUGGCCA